CACUUUUCCCUGAGCGUGUUCAGGGUGGAUAUUGUCUCUAUAACCUCACGAUAACAAGCUGCCUUAAAACUGAAAUCCAACCUGCAAUGCCUUUAACAACAGGCCAUGAUAACUCUUCUUGUUUUGCUUGUCCUCACCUGUGUGGUCUUAGUCACACCGCAGAGUGUCCCCAGUCUUUGGCUCUGGGCUAAUGGUUUGCAAGAAGCUCAGGCUCUUAACCAGCGUUGAGAAACACUUCUCUAAACCAACGAAUAUAAAUGGAGAAAGGAACCUCAUAAAUGACACAGAUGGAAAUACUGUAUUUGCCCCUAGCCCUUGAGUCUCAGUGGGCUAUGCUGAUUUAUCAAACAACUAGUAAAGUGGGUUUGCAGUAAGCUAUGCAUUGAUCUAUCUUGGCGGCCAUUUGCUUUCACAACCACGACUGAGGAUGCACUCUUCAAAGGAACCUGGUUUACAAACAGUUUAGUGCUGAUGCUGGUUUUGGGUCAUUUCACUGAGCAUCAACAGAGCAACAAAUUAAUUUUCACAGUGUUAUUGUCUAGCCUUGGGAAGCUUUUUGAAACAAUUAAAGGCUGUACAUGAA